rnacentral:rRNA from 1 species
AAAGGAAUAGACGGGGGCCCGCACAAGCAGUGGAGUAUGUGGUUUAAUUCGAAGCAACGCGAAGAACCUUACCAGGGCUUGACAUCCCUCGAAUUACGUAGAAAUACGUAAGUCCUACGGGACGAGGAGACAGGUGGUGCAUGGUUGUCGUCAGCUCGUGUCGUGAGAUGUUGGGUUAAGUCCCGCAACGAGCGCAACCCCUGUUGUUAGUUGCCAUCAAGUAAAGUUGGGCACUCUAACGAGACUGCCGGUGAGAAAUCGGAGGAAGGUGGGGACGACGUCAAAUCAUCAUGCCCCUUAUGUCCUGGGCAACACACGUACUACAAUGGCUACAACAGAGGGAAGCGAAGCUGUAAAGCGGAGCGAAUCCCAGAAAAGUAGUCCCAGUUCGGAUUGUGGGCUGCAACUCGCCCACAUGAAGCAGGAAUUGCUAGUAAUGGCAGGUCAGCAUACUGCCGUGAAUACGUUCCCGGGCCUUGUACACACCGCCCGU